rnacentral:lncRNA from 1 species
CAGGAUUUGAAGCAAGUUUUAAUUCCUAAUCCCAUGCUUUUGGUUGUAAACUGUCCUUAGCCAGCUUCCAGGCACAUUCAAGUUUCCCAAAUAAAGUAGAUCAAGAGUCUAUGAGGGAAGAGUGACUGAAAAUAGAAUUCCGCCCAUUAGUCUAUCUUCUUGCCUUCUGCUUAGGUGGGUCCCAGCUAAUGUCCUAGAAAAGGUUGCUUACAAAUACUUUUUAAGUGUUUCUUUCUGCCUGUUGGCUAAUCUCCAAAGGGGCAGGCAGUAUGUACCUCAGCUGGGCUUUUUCUCUGUUUCAAAAACCAGAGCAUCCGACCUUUAGCAAACUAGAAUGAAAUAGGAGGCGUUUCCUUUUAUUUCAUACUCAAAGUAAAGUUCUCUCCCAGUUGACUUCUGAUCUUCGAAACCAAAUAGCUGCUAAGGGGGCUAAAGUUUGAAAAGGGGAAAUUUAAGCUGGGUUUUAGAGAAGAAUUCCCUGGUGGUGAGUAUUUAAGUUAUAGGGGGAAAAAAAUCUUUACAAACCAACUGGUGAAGACUUCACCAUUUACGAUACUUAGUGACCUGGUGAACAGUGGAAGAAUAUCCCCUAAAGACAAACCGUAGUGUCAGCAGCUGCGUACCCCACUUGACAAACUGGAAUAACACCAGCUGUGUUCCUUUUAUAUUCUCACUUUUAAAUGUCUUUAUCAACAUUAUCCAAAACAGUUUUCUGUUUUCUUGGCUGGAGAGAGUCUCCUUUUGGUUUGAGUCACAAAGCCAGCAACAUUCUUUCAUUCUUAAGACCUGAAGAAAAGGAUCAAGGGAAAUCACCACGUAUAAAUGCAAAGCUGAAGAGCCACAACUUCUGGAAUAGCCCAUGUGGAAAGAAUCGCCAGAAUGAAAGCUUUAAAACAAAUCAGGACGACUAUCAGUUCAUUCUUCCAGCUGUGUGAAGCCAACAAAAGGCAAUAAGAAUGAUAUUAAAAUUAUCUUUUACACUCAGACAUGUUGCCAGCAGGGGUGGGUGUCUGGCAGUUUGUAUUCUUCAGUCCUACUGUUCUCAGGAAAACAGAGUAGGAAGACCAGAUAAGCCAUCUUGGG